CCAAACUUUUUGCAGUAGUAUACAGACAUCUAAGAUGUUCAUUCUCCUUUAUGCCUGCUGUGAUUACCCAUGUUCCCCCCAGAUUUCAAUCCUUCACCCAGGUCUCCCUGUUCUAUUCUUACCUGUGGACCCCAUCUCUGCUCAGAAGUCCUUCUUGGAACAGCAUCCCAUGGUCGAAGAAGCCAAAGAUGAGUACUUCUCACAAAGGUGGCAUUGUGUAAAAUUAUAAGCUUUUCAUGAAAGUGACUGCCUGAUUCCCCCUUCUUCUGUUUGAACAGCACUUAAUACAAAGAGACCUUUAGAUGAGCGUAUUCCCAAGGACAAAUUUAAAAGCACUAAUGCAGUUUUAUCUGUUUGAAGUGGCCUCUGUUAUCAACAUUCACUGAGCAAGAGGGCCCAAGCUCUAGUGUUAUUCAUCCCUCUCUUGGGCCCUGAUUCUGUAAGGCAAUCAGAUGGGAAGAGCCCUUCGCCUCCAUGAAGCCCCCCUGAGUUCAGAGGGACCCCAGACAGAGGUGUUACUUUGGGUGUCAGCCCCAACUAGCCCUUCAGGUACAACAAUGGAAAAACCAGACAGGGCUAAUGGCCCAUUAGCAUAGACAAUGGAAUGUGAAUGAGCUUAGUCUUCUUGUGGAUGCUCCAAACAGCCUGCAAGUAAUGACUGCCACAACCCUGCAAAGACAUGAGUCCGAGUCACCUGCUACUGGACCCACACUUCAGAAUGCCAGUGUUCUUCCACUGGGAGACAAAGGGUUCCCACCAUACACAAGAGCUAUAUAAGGCAUGGGAGUGACAUCAUCGUGGUUCUCCUCUGCCUCCCCACCCAAAGAGACACUGAAAAAUACCUGGAAGCAAGAACUGAACCGGGGUGGGGGAAGGGUUGAGUCCAAGCUAGAAGGGCAUAUAGCUUGUGAGUAACAAUACCUGAGGUCUCAAGCCAGAGACCUGUGUAGCUGCCUUUCAAGACUUUCUGUAAUCUGCCUGCAACAAUAUCUAGGCAGGCAAUGGAAUGUUUCUCUGGGGCUGGGCAUGAACGGAUAUGAACAGAGAUUAGAAAGAAACUUUCUGCAAUAGCAGAAGACCAGAAAUCACCUGUGAAAAUUGGUAAUGUUGAAUAAAACAUGCAAAGAGCUAUGCCAAGUG